rnacentral:rRNA from 1 species
UACGAAGGGGGCUAGCGUUGCUCGGAAUCACUGGGCGUAAAGGGUGCGUAGGCGGGUCUUUAAGUCAGGGGUGAAAUCCUGGAGCUCAACUCCAGAACUGCCUUUGAUACUGAGGGUCUCGAGUCCGGGAGAGGUGAGUGGAACUGCGAGUGUAGAGGUGAAAUUCGUAGAUAUUCGGAGGAACACCAAUGGCGUAGGCAGCCAACUGGACAAUUACUGACGCUCAUGCACGAAAGCGUGGGGAUCAAACAGG